rnacentral:rRNA from 1 species
CCUACGGGAGGCUGCAGUGAGGAAUAGUGGUCAAUGGGCGCGAGCCUGAACCAGCCAAGUAGCGUGAAGGAUGACUGCCCUACGGGUUGUAAACUUCUUUUAUAAAGGAAUAAAGUGAGGCACGUGGGCCGUUUUGUAUGGACUUUAUGAAUAAGGAUCGGCUAACUCCGUGCCAGCAGCCGCGGUAAUACGGAGGAGCCGAGCGUUAUCCGGAUUUAUUGGGUUGAAAGGGCGCGUAGAUGGGUUGUUAAGUCAGUUGUGAACGUUUGCGGCUCAACCGUAAAAUUGCAAUUGAUCCUGGCAGUCUUGAUUACAGUUGCGGUAGGCGGAAUUCGUGGUGUAGCGG